UACGGAGGGUGCAAGCGUUAUCCGGAUUUACUGGGUUUAAAGGGUGCGUAGGUGGGUAGGUAAGUCAGUGGUGAAAUCUUCGAGCUUAACUCGGAAACUGCCAUUGAUACUAUUUAUCUUGAAUACUUUGGAGGUAAGCGGAAUAUGUCAUGUAGCGGUGAAAUGCUUAGAUAUGACAUAGAACACCAAUUGCGAAGGCAGCUCACUACACAGUUAUUGACGCUGAGGCACGAAAGCGUGGGGAUCAAACAGG
rnacentral:rRNA from 1 species